rnacentral:rRNA from 1 species
UGGCCUACGGGACGCAGCAGUGGGGAAUAUUGCGCAAUGGGCGAAAGCCUGACGCAGCGACGCCGCGUGAAGGAUGAAGGUCUUCGGGUCGUAAACCGCUGUCAGCAGGGAGGAAGGGUCACUGGGCUAAUAAGGAGUGAAUUGACGGUACCUGCAAAGGAAGCACCGGCUAACUCCGUGCCAGCAGCCGCGGUAAUACGGAGGGUGCGAGCGUUAAUCGGAAUUACUGGGCGUAAAGCGCUCGUAGGCG